UACGUAGGGGGCAAGCGUUGUUCGGAAUUACUGGGCGUAAAGGGCGCGUAGGCGGCUGUGUAAGUCGGGAGUGAAAGCCCGGGGCUCAACCCCGGAAUGUCUCUCGAAACUGCGCGGCUCGAGUGCGGAAGAGGCAACUGGAAUUCCCAGUGUAGCGGUGAAAUGCGUAGAUAUUGGGAAGAACACCUGAGGCGAAGGCGGGUUGCUGGGCCGACACUGACGCUGAGGCGCGAAAGCCAGGGGAGCAAACGGG
rnacentral:rRNA from 1 species